rnacentral:rRNA from 1 species
GGAUCUGAGUGUGUAGCUGCCGUGCGCCGGGAUAAAGGCGGGCGCCGCGGGAAGACGCGUGAAGGAUGACGGCCCUAUGGGUUGUAAACUUCUUUUGUAUAGGGAUAAACCUAGAUACGUGUAUCUAGCUGAAGGUACUAUACGAAUAAGCACCGGCUAACUCCGUGCCAGCAGCCGCGGUAAUUAAAA